ensembl:snoRNA
GUCCUUUUGUAGUUCGUAAGCCCAUUGACUGGGUUUUCAUGUAUGAGAUGCAACAUGUCUUCCUUACAUCUUGUAAUGUGGGCACAUUACCCAUCUGAGA